GCCUAAUACAUGCAAGUCGAACGAUAUUAAGGGGCUUGCUCCUUAAGAAAGUGGCGCACGGGUGCGUAACGCGUAUGCAACCUACCUUAAUCAGGGGGAUAGCCCGAAGAAAUUCGGAUUAACACCGCAUAAAAACACAGGAUAGCAUUAUCCAAUGUUCAAAUAUUUAUAGGAUUAAGAUGGGCAUGCGUGUCAUUAGCUAGUUGGCGGGGUAACGGCCCACCAAGGCGACGAUGACUAGGGGAUCUGAGAGGAUGACCCCCCACACUGGUACUGAGACACGGACCAGACUCCUACGGGAGGCAGCAGUAAGGAAUAUUGGUCAAUGGAGGCAACUCUGAACCAGCCAUGCCGCGUGCAGGAAGACUGCCCUAUGGGUUGUAAACUGCUUUUAUCCGGGAAUAAACCUUUCUACGUGUAGAGAGCUGAAUGUACCGGAAGAAUAAGGAUCGGCUAACUCCGUGCCAGCAGCCGCGGUAAUACGGAGGAUCCAAGCGUUAUCCGGAUUUAUUGGGUUUAAAGGGUGCGUAGGCGGCCUGUUAAGUCAGAGGUGAAAGACGGUAGCUCAACUAUCGCAGUGCCUUUGAUACUGAUGGGCUUGAAUGAACUAGAGGUAGGCGG
rnacentral:rRNA from 1 species